GUUCAUAACUUCGGGAAUAUUCAAUAAAAUUGGAAUGAUACAGAGAAAUAUUAGUAUGGUAUAUGCGCAAAGAUGACAUACAAGAGUCGAGAAAUUGUGUAAAAAAAAUUCUC
rnacentral:snRNA from 1 species